rnacentral:rRNA from 1 species
GACGAACGCUGGCGGCGUGCUUAACACAUGCAAGUCGAACGGUAAGGCCCUUCGGGGUACACGAGUGGCGAACGGGUGAGUAACACGUGGGUGAUCUGCCCUGCACUUCGGGAUAAGCCUGGGAAACUGGGUCUAAUACCGGAUAGGACCACUGCCUGCAUGGGUGGUGGUGGAAAGCUUUUGCGGUGUGGGAUGGGCCCGCGGCCUAUCAGCUUGUUGGUGGGGUGAUGGCCUACCAAGGCGACGACGGGUAGCCGGCCUGAGAGGGUGACUGGCCACACUGGGACUGAGAUACGGCCCAGACUCCUACGGGAGGCAGCAGUGGGGAAUAUUGCACAAUGGGCGCAAGCCUGAUGCAGCGACGCCGCGUGAGGGAUGACGGCCUUCGGGUUGUAAACCUCUUUCAGCACCGACGAAGCGCAAGUGACGGUAGGUGCAGAAGAAGGACCGGCCAACUACGUGCCAGCCGCCGCCGUAA